CGGUCCUGUCCCUGAAUGGCACUGGCGCCCAGGACAGAGCCCGGCAAAGGCCCCUGAGAGAUCUCCAUCGAUUUGGCAAAUUAAUGAUUCUGCUCUCCACGUCUCAGGAGCCUUAAUGAAGUGGCAGCGGACUCGAGGAUGAAACGGACCCAUCGUGUUCCAAGCUCUGCAGGAAAACUGAAGUCCACAGAUCAGCUUAACUGAGAAAGUAACGAGCAGCAACCUGAUCCUAAAAUAAAGAAACAGGCUGAGAGAAUUCAAAGAAUACUUAAAUUAUCCACCUUAAAAAAAAGCAACAAAACUGGGCUCAUGCCUAUAAUAUGGGCCGGUAUGAGGGCGCUUCUACCCCCUCUUCCAGGAAAUAAUAUGCUUCUCUGUCUUGAGGGUCCACACUCUAUUUCUCUGAAUGUCUACCUUUUUCUUGCUGUCUAAUAAACGCUUCCUG
rnacentral:lncRNA from 1 species